GUCCCUGAUGCGCCUCCUUCUGGACAUUUUUUCAAAGUGGCAGCUAAGUGGUAACAGCAACCCCGCCCCCUCCGUCUAGAGUAAGCCCUGGCAGUAACCUGCCUGCACAUUGGUUGGCCGCCAGGUCCCGAGCCGAUCGCAGUAUUGAAAAGGGGCCUCCAUAUGCUUCCAGCAAUGGCGGGGAAGCCACUUCUCCCUGCACUGCCACACUCCAUGCAGCCCCGGGGAGAGGCAUCGGUCUCUCGUCAAUUCCCUCCACAGUCUCUUAAAAGAGGAAGAUUGGAAGGACAAGCAGAACUGCACUGGGAAUGGACAAAAGCACCUGGAUUGAGACUCCAAGGAAUGUCUCAGAUACAAGGAAGACAGAAGGAAACUUCCCCACAAAAUAAUAGCACUUCAUCCAACUGUCAGGGUAAUCUUCCUCCACUAGUAUAUUUAGAGUAUACUGGAUUUGGAAGGUGUUAGUGCAGUUAUAUUCCAAACUCUGGAGAAUGCUGGGUACAUGAAUGCAAAGCGGGCAUCUAACUUCUUGAAUGGAUCUGAAAGUUCUCUACCUCUGAAAGCUGCUGGGCAGGUGUGAUGGACUCCACCCCCCCCCCCCCCACACACACGCUUUAUGAAAUGGAUUUAUGGACACAAAUAUGCAUAAUUUAAACAUGCUUGGGACAAAUUGCCUUAUGUAACCUAUCAAUCUUAAUGUCUGACUUUGCUGGAUCUGUAUAUCUUAUUUUGGUGUAUUCUCGUGUGUAAAGUUAGCUAUAUGGCGUAUGGAAUGCUUUAUGGUUUUAAAUGUCCAAAUGAAAUCAUCAAGGAUGUUUCUAGUGCAGUGGCACCUCGAUGUCUAGGUAAUCACCUGUUAACAGUCUCUUUUGUCCUUUGAGUCCAAGCAGUGGCUGCUCUUACGAAGUCACAUGACUACCCCAACUGGUAGGGUCUGACCAAGUAAUGUUCCAUGUAAGAAUGGAAUAUCAAAACAGAAUUCCUUCCCAGGGUGGAAUCUAUAAAACAAAGGGAGGCUAACAGUUUCUUUUUCUUAGGAGUGCCAUGCCAGCCAAAGACAAUUAGCCAAAGAUCCCAGGGAGAGGGGACUUCCCUCAUUUGAAGGCUUAGCUGGAAUAAGAACAGUUUUAGGAUACAAAGUACAGAGUGGCAUUCUGCACAAGAUGGUGUCUGGAAAACCAGGGUACAGGCUUUACUUGAUGGAAUUGCAAUAGUCAAAGUGAAAGGAGAUAAAGGCAUGGAAAAGAAGAUGCAAAGAUGAAACAAACAUAUUACUGAGAUUGCAGGCAAAUCAAGAGCUGGACAGCUUCCAAACCCUGGACAACGAAGAGUUAAGACACACAGACCCAAGACUACAUGCUGUGUUUUCUCAGGAGACCUCAGGAGACCGGGGA